UUUUUUUUUUUUUUUUUUUUUUAAAGGCACCAAGGAUUUCUUUAUAAAGGCCACACGAUAUAUGGGGCAGCUGAAUUUCAAGCCAGAUUUUCCUGGUCCCUGACGCCUGAGUCCGUUUCCUAGCCCACUGACAAACCAGCCCAGCUUUUCCAGGUCCUGGCCAUUUGGUGCUGGUUGUUGGUGGACAGGGUGGAUCUGAGCUGCCCGAUGUCUAUAAGUGCUUGAUGUGUUACACAGAUUGACUUUAAUACCGGGCUUUUCUUUCUGGCACGUGGAAAUUCUCUAAAAUGGGUGCGACCUUGGCCCUCACGCCCGUCUUUCUUACGGAGGUCAUCCACUCUGUUCACAAAAGGUAUGACUGGGGCGGGGGGUUCGUGGAGCAUGUAACUGUGGCCGAGAAGAUCAAGGCGCUGUCUGCCAGCUUCACCAAGUCAUCCUGCCCUUUGAUUUGGGGGCUGAGGCUGGCGUUUGUGGCUCCUGCUGUUUGAAACUGUACUUCGGCCCCCGCUCUGUCUGCCUCUGCUCCGAGGAACCCCCCUCUUCACGGCCGUGCGCUGCUCUGGUCAAGUGGCCACCCCACUGGACUUCAAAGCACUGGGCAGGGCUUGCGGAUUCUCUGGAUUCAGGACAUCAUCACAAAAGUUCCCUUAGCAACAAGUCGGCAGGAAUCCCUGACAUCUGUUAGCCACCACGUGAAUCCCUGCGGUCCAUUACCAGCUAGAAACAUGAAUGAGAUGCUGACCUGCUUGUACUCUUCUGAGCCUGAAAAGGCCCAGCUUUUAUCUGCCAGCCGGGUCGACCUCAUCUACAAGCACAGAAGCUGGUCCCCGUGUGGCUGGUCAAAGACAAUGUUUGGUAAACCAGGAAGGCUUGGAUACAUGUGUUAGGAUUUUUGCCGGGCCACUCCAAGGGAUGGCAUUCUCCCAGCAUGUCCCCUUGUCACUCCUAGCAGCAAGGUGGCACAUGACAAGCUUUCUAACAGAAUGUCAGCAUUGGUCUCCCUGGAACUUAAUUGUGAAAUGAGUAUAUCCCAUUCUCCCUGCAAUGGCGAGGCUUCUGGGUGAUGCUUGUUGCCAUGGAGGGAAGUAGCAGCGGUGGCUGGCAGGUCAGUCUGGCUUGUCCUUUGGAGGACCAGAGCAUGGGGUGACAUUGUGGAGGUCCAGUUACAACAGGUGUGUGAACUGUGUGAGGCUUGUGUGGAUUCCUAAGAGGAUUCACUCGCCUCCUCCUCUCACAUUUAGUGUCUCUCCCGUCUACCAUCCACUAAAGACUGGUUCUAUUAACGUCCCAGUUCACUAGCUGAUGUCCAGACCCAGUCCCCAGGGACUCACACAUCAUGUAUCCGAACUAAACGUCAUCUCUCUCCUCCCUUCACUGCCUUCUAUGCCCACCCUUCCAACCUGGAGAAUGUCACCAGCACCUCUCCAUGGCGUCACCUGGCAAUACCCCCCCCCACCACCCCGUUACCUUUCUUCUCCUGUUCAUUCAGUUGACAAGUCUGGUCUGUUCUCUCUUAGAAAUAUUUCUCAAAAGCCUUCUCCUUAUUCACUCGCGUUGGCAAACUUCUUCUGUAAAGGGCCAGGAAACAUUUUAGGCUUCGUGGGCCAAGAGGCAAAACUGAGUUAGAGCUGCAUCACUGUGAUGUGCAGUGCGCCAGAGGCAGUGAGAAGCCGUGAGAGCGCCCAUAUGGUCUCUGUCACAGCGACUCAGCUCUGCCCGUGGAGCACAAAACGGUUAGAGAGGAUCCCCAAACCGUCGGGCAUGGUUGCGUUCCAAUCCAACUUUAUUUAGGGACACUGAGAUUUGAAUCUGUGCCAUGCGGUAUUCUUCUUUUCCUUUGUUUUCAACCAUUUAAAGAUGGAUAGGCCAUUCUUAGCUCAUGGGCUGUGUGUAGUUUGCCAGUCUCUGUUCAAAAGUUGAUUAUUUGUUCAGCAAUCCCUAAUCUAGUGCCUGCGAUGGGCUGGGAGCACUCUUGUAGGUGCUGGAGGUGAAGCAGUGAAAGGCAUAGAAAAGCAUACCUUUAAAAAAAAAAAAAAAUUUAACUACAGCUGGAGUUUCCGUUGUGGCUCAGUGGUUAACGAAUCUGACUAGGAACCAUGAGGUUGCGGGUUCGAUCCCUGGCCUCGCUCAGUGGGUUAAGGAUCCGGCGUUGCCAUGACCUGUGGUAUAGGUUGCAGAUGAGGCUCGGAUCCCACGUUGCUGUGGCUGUGGUGUAGGCUGGCAGCUACAGCUCUGGUUAAACCCCUAGCCUAAGAACCUCCAUAUGCCGCAGGAGUGGCGUUAGAAAAGGCAAAAAG
rnacentral:lncRNA from 1 species